rnacentral:rRNA from 1 species
UACAGGGGGGGCAAGCGUUGUUCGGAAUUACUGGGCGUAAAGGGUUCGUAGGUGGCCACUUAAGUCAGACGUGAAAUCCCUCAGCUUAACUGGGGAACUGCGUCUGAUACUGCGUGGCUUGAGUGCAGGAGAGGAAUGCGGAAUUCCAGGUGUAGCGGUGAAAUGCGCAGAUAUCAGGAGGAAUACCCAUAGCGAAGGCAGCUCGCUGGGACGGUACUGACGCUAAGGCGCGAAAGCGUGGGGAGCGAACAGG